CAGCUAGUGAUUUUUUAAGUAGUGAUGCUAAUUAAGGGUUAAGUGAGUCUGUAUGUCUGUUCCAUUGUUCACUGGUCAGGAAAGUAUUCCAAUAGUUUUGUUAGGGUCUAUCUUCACAGGGUCACUCAAGUUCAUGGUCCUUUAUCUACUAAUUGGGAUGAAAUAUAUUCAAUGUUGUCAUUUUCUAGGCCAGUAUAAGUGGAAAGUUUUGUUUUGUUUGACGAUUUUACUUUGAAUCAAACUGUGGUUGAGCAGUUCAGACUUUCCAUUUGACCCUAACUGACCACUGGCAAGCAGUUCCUGUAUGGAAGAUUCAUGAGAUACCCAUAUCAAGCCUGCUGUGAUGGAGCAUCUACUCCUGGUGCCUCUCCUUGAUCCUUUACGACCUGGAAACCCACCAUCUUUAUCAUUUAAAGGAAUCAAGCCUUCCAUUGUGCUAUGGAAUAAUCUAAUUCUGCUAUAGAAUGUUUGGUUCUGUCUUUGUCUCAUUCUUGAAAUCCUACACAAGAAUCUCAUGGGGUGUUUCUACAACGUAUUUCAGGAGAGCCAACUUCACUCACAUCUCAAAUGACCAUCCUGCCCUUGCCCUUAUUUUUUGUCUUCUUUUGGUCACCUCAAGUCCCUGCUUAGGACACAUUUCUCUUCCUGGGCCUGGAAACUCUCUGGAGCAUGAUGCUUUUCAAUUUUUCCUCCAGCUCCAUUGGCAUGGCAAAACUUGGAUUCUUUUUUUUCUGCACAAAGAACUGUGUAUGUAUCAACCUAGCAAGACGUCAGGAGCAUUCUCCUAUGUCAACAAACAUGGACGUUCAACACAUUUCCAAUGCUUGCAGAGUGGUAAAUCCUGUGGUUGCACCACAGUAUAUUUGGCCAAUACCCUGCUGGUGGACAUUAGGGCCAUUUACUGA
rnacentral:lncRNA from 12 species